AUACGGAGGGUGCAAGCGUUAAUCGGAAUUACUGGGCGUCAAGCGUGCGCAGGCGGUUUGUUAAGUCAGAUGUGAAAGCCCCGGGCUCAACCUGGGAACUGCAUUUGAAACUGGCAAACUAGAGUGUGGUAGAGGGAAGUGGAAUUCCUCAUGUAGCGGUGAAAUGCGUAGAUAUGAGGAGGAACACCAGUGGCGAAGGCGACUUCCUGGACCAACACUGACGCUCAUGUACGAAAGCGUGGGUAGCAAACAGGAGUAGAUACCCCAGUAGUCC
rnacentral:rRNA from 1 species